CCAAGAACUCUCCUCCCAGAACAUGGCUUAAAUUCUUCAAAUUUCACAGAGAAAGUACAAAACAGCAAAUAAAUGGGGCAGACCAAGUUCUUGCAGGAACUGAUUUUAUACGCCGCAAGUGCAGCCCUAAGUUGUCUGGUAUUGUUUGCGGGGCUCCGACAUCUAGACCCGAACCGGGAGGCCUCAAAGAAGGCCCUUGAACAGAAGAAGGAAAUCGCCAAGCGCUUAGGUCGCCCUCUUAUUGAGACCAAUCCCUACGAGGAUGUAAUAGCCUGUGAUGUCAUAAAUCCAGAUCGCAUUGAUGUGGAAUUUGAUUCAAUUGGAGGACUGGAAGCAAUCAAGGAAGCUUUGUAUGAACUGGUGAUUCUUCCACUACGGAGACCUGAGCUCUUUUCUCAUGGGAAGCUUCUUGGGCCCCAAAAAGG
rnacentral:misc_RNA from 1 species